UAAGUGGAACCAUCCCCCUUUGCCCAAGUUUCCACUUCCCCCAUUCAAAGGCUUCCACCACCAUUAUCCAAUAAUCCCUCCCAUCUACAAGAAACCUCUUCCGCCACCGUCCCCGGUGUACAAGCCCCCUCCAGUUCCCGUAAACCCACCUGUUCCAAUCUAUAAACCUCCACCAGUUCCAGUCUAUAAACCUCCUCCAGUUCCAGUAAAACCACUUCCUCCACCUGUUCCAAUCUACAAACCUCCACCAGUUGAAAAACCACAUCCUCCACCUGUUCCAGUCUAUAAACCUCCACCAGUUCCAGUAUACAAGAAACCAUGUCCUCCACCAGUUCCAGUCUAUAAAUCUCCUCCGGUUCCAGUAUACAAGAAACCGCAUCCUCCUCCAGUUCCAGUCUAUAAGAAACCACAUCCACCUCCAGUUCCAGUAUACAAGAAACCAUGUCCUCCCCCAGUUCCAGUCUAUAAAUCUCCUCCAGUUCCGGAACCACAUCCUCCGCCAGUUCCAGUCCAUAAGCCUCCUCCAGUUCCGGUAUACAAGAAACGAGUCCCUCCUCCGGUUCCAAUCUACAAGCCCCCUCCAGUUCCUGUAUACAACAAACCACUACCUCCCCCGGUUCCAGUGUAUACGAAGCCACUUCCACCACCUGUUCCAACCUACAAACCAAAACCCCUCCCUCCCAUUCCUUACAAGCCACUCCCUCCACUUCCCAAGAUCCCUCCAUUCCCUAAGAAGCCAUGCCCUCCCCUUCCUAAGCUACCCCCUCUUCCCAAGAUUCCUCCCAAGUAUUUCCACCACCACCCUCCCCUUCCUAAGCUACCUCCUCUCCCUAAGAUUCCUCCCAAGUAUUUCCACCAC
rnacentral:lncRNA from 1 species